AGUGAACGCUGGCGGCGUGCCUAACACAUGCAAGUCGAACGGAGUGGCGGACGGGUGAGUAAUGUAUAGCUAAUCUGCCCUACACUAGAGGACAAAAGUUGGAAACGACUGCUAAUACUCUAUAUGGUAGGAUGAGGCUAUAUUGUAUCAGCUAGUUGGUGAGGUUAUGGCUCACCAAGGUUAUGACGGAUAACUGGUCUGCGAGGAUGAUCAGUCACACUGGCACUGAGACACGGUCCAGAAUCCUACGGGAGGGAGCAGAAUGGAAUAGUGCACAAUGGGGGAAGCGCUGAAGCAGCAACGGCGCGUGGAGGAUGACACUUUUCACGGCGGAAACUCUUUUUGUUAGUGAAACGGUACCUAACUAAUAAGCACCGGCUAACUCCGUGCCAGCAGCCGCGGUAAUUC
rnacentral:rRNA from 1 species